UGUGUAGGUGGCGCGCUAAGUCGGGUGUGAAAUUUCGGAGCUUAACUCCGAAGCUGCAUUCGAUACUGGCGUGCUUGAGGACUGGAGAGGAGACUGGAAUUCAUGGUGUAGCAGUGAAAUGCGUAGAGAUCAUGAGGAAGACCAGUGGCGAAGGCGGGUCUCUGGACAGUUCCUGACACUGAGACACGAAGGCCAGGGGAGCAAACG
rnacentral:rRNA from 1 species